UGGGGAAUAUUGCACAAUGGGCGCAAGCCUGAUGCAGCCAUGCCGCGUGUGUGAAGAAGGCCUUCGGGUUGUAAAGCACUUUCAGCGAGGAGGAAGGUGGUGGACUUAAUACGUUCAUCAAUUGACGUUACUCGCAGAAGAAGCACCGGCUAACUCCGUGCCAGCAGCCGCGGUAAUACGGAGGGUGCAAGCGUUAAUCGGAAUUACUGGGCGUAAAGCGCACGCAGGCGGUUUGUUAAGUCAGAUGUGAAAUCCCCGGGCUCAACCUGGGAACUGCAUUUGAAACUGGCAAGCUAGAGUCUCGUAGAGGGGGGUAGAAUUCCAGGUGUAGCGGUGAAAUGCGUAGAGAUCUGGAGGAAUACCGGUGGCGAAGGCGGCCCCCUGGACGAAGACUGACGCUCAGGUGCGAAAGCGUGGGGCAGCAAACAGGAUUAGAUACCCUGGUAGUCCACGCUGUAAACGAUGUCGAUUUGGAGGUUGUGCCCUUGAGGCGUGGCUUCCGGAGCUAACGCGUUAAA
rnacentral:rRNA from 1 species